UGGGGAAUCUUGCACAAUGGGGGCAACCCUGAUGCAGCGACGCCGCGUGAGCGAUGAAGCCCUUCGGGGCGUAAAGCUCUUUCGACCGGAACGAUAAUGACGGUACCGGGAGAAGAAGCUGCGGCUAACUACGUGCCAGCAGCCGCGGUAAUACGUAGGCAGCAAGCGUUGUUCGGAGUUACUGGGCGUAAAGAGUGCGUAGGCGGUUUUCUAAGUUUGGUGUGAAAUCUCCCGGCUUAACUGGGAGGGUGCGCCGAAGACUGGGAGGCUGGAGUGUGGGAAAGGCAGGCGGAAUUCCUGGUGUAGCGGUGAAAUGCGUAGAUAUCAGGAGGAACACCGGCGGUGUAGACGGCUUGCUAGACCAUAACUGACGCUGAGGCACGAAAGCGUGGGUAGCAAACA
rnacentral:rRNA from 1 species